GACGAACGCUGGCGGCGUGCUUAACACAUGCAAGUCGAACGAAGUGGCGAACGGGUGAGUAACGCGUAAUCAACCUGCCCUUCAUCGGGGGACAACAGUUUGAAACGACUGCUCAUACCGCAUACUGAAGGCGGGGAUUGCGUCUGAUUAGCUAGGUGGAGGGGUAACGGCCCCCCAAGACGAUGAUCAGUAGCCGGUCGGAGAGGAUGAACGGCCACAUUGGUACUGAGAAACGGCCCAGACUCCUACGGGAGGCAGCAGUGGGGAAUCUUCCGCAAUGGACGAAAGUCUGACGGAGCAACGCCGCGUGAGGGAUGACGGCCUUCGGGUUGUAAAGCUCUGUUAAUCGGGACGCGGUACCGGAAUAGAAAGCCACGGCUAACUACGUGCCAGCCGCCGCGGUAAUAC
rnacentral:rRNA from 1 species